rnacentral:rRNA from 1 species
GUAAGGAAUAUUGGACAAUGGACGCAAGUCUGAUCCAGCCAUGCCGCGUGAAGGAUUAAGGUCCUCUGGAUUGUAAACUUCUUUUAUAAGGGACGAAAAAAGGCUUUUCUAAGUCGUCUGACGGUACCUUAUGAAUAAGCACCGGCUAACUCCGUGCCAGCAGCCGCGGUAAUACGGAGGGUGCAAGCGUUAUCCGGAUUCACUGGGUUUAAAGGGUGCGUAGGCGGGCAGUUAAGUCAGUGGUGAAAUCCUAGAGCUUAACUCUAGAACUGCCAUUGAUACUAUCUUUCUUGAAUAUUGUGGAGGUAAGCGGAAUAUGUCAUGUAGCGGUGAAAUGCUUAGAUAUGACAUAGAACACCUAUUGCGAAGGCAGCUUACUACGCAUAUAUUGACGCUGAGGCACGAAAGCGUGGGGAUCAAACAGGAUUAGAAACCCUGGUAGUCC